AUUGAACGCUGGCGGCAGGCUUAACACAUGCAAGUCGAACGAGUGGCGGACGGGUGAGUAAUGCUUGGGAAUCUGGCUUAUGGAGGGGGAUAACUACUGGAAACUGUAGCUAAUACCGCAUACCAUAGGAUGUGCCCAGGUGGGAUUAGGUAGUUGGUGGGGUAAAGGCUCACCAAGCCGACGAUCCCUAGCUGGUCUGAGAGGAUGACCAGCCACACUGGAACUGAGACACGGUCCAGACUCCUACGGGAGGCAGCAGUGGGGAAUAUUGCGCAAUGGGCGCAACCCUGACGCAGCCAUGCCGCGUGAGUGAAGAAGGCCUUCGGGUUGUAAAGUACUUUCGGUGGCGAGGCGUUACCUGCAGAAGAAGCACCGGCUAACUCCGUGCCAGCAGCCGCGGUAAUAC
rnacentral:rRNA from 1 species